rnacentral:rRNA from 1 species
ACGGGAGGCAGCAGCUAAGAAUAUUCCGCAAUGGACGAAAGUCUGACGGAGCGACGCCGCGUGGAUGAUGAAGGCCGGAAGGUUGUAAAAUCCUUUUGUGGUUGAGGAAUAAGGAGUGCAGGGAAUGGUACUCUGGUGACUGUAGACUACGAAUAAGCACCGGCUAAUUACGUGCCAGCAGCCGCGGUAACACGUAAGGUGCAAGCGUUGUUCGGAAUUAUUGGGCGUAAAGGGCAUGUAGGCGGUCCGGCAAGUCUAGAGUGAAAUUACGGAGCUCAACUCCGUAGCUGUUCUGGAAACUGGUGGACUUGAGUCAGUGAGGCGUAACCGGAAUUCCUAGUGUAGGGGUGAAAUCUGUAGAUAUUAGGAAGAACACCGGUGGCGAAGGCAGGUUACGAGCACAUGACUGACGCUGAGGUGCGAAGGUGCGGGGAGCAAACAGGAUUAGAUACCCUGGUA